rnacentral:rRNA from 1 species
CUUGGUGUUACUGCGAAGGGGGGACGGAGAAGGCUAUGUUGGCCGGGCGACGGUUGUCCCGGUUUAAGCGUGUAGGCUGGUUUUCCAGGCAAAUCCGGAAAACCAAGGCUGAGGCGUGAUGACGAGGCACUACGGUGCUGAAGCGACAAAUGCCCUGCUUCCAGGAAAAGCCUCUAAGCAUCAGGUAACAUCAAAUCGUACCCCAAACCGACACAGGUGGUCAGGUAGAGAAUACCAAGGCGCUUGAGAGAACUCGGGUGAAGGAACUAGGCAAAAUGGUGCCGUAACUUCGGGAGAAGGCACGCUGAUAUGUAGGUGAAGCGACUUGCUCGUGGAGCUGAAAUCAGUCGAAGAUACCAGCUGGCUGCAACUGUUUAUUAAAAACACAGCACUGUGCAAACACGAAAGUGGACGUAUACGGUGUGACGCCUGCCCGGUGCCGGAAGGUUAAUUGAUGGGGUUAGCGGUAACGCGAAGCUCUUGAUCGAAGCCCCGGUAAACGGCGGCCGUAACUAUAACGGUCCUAAGGUAGCGAAAUUCCUUGUCGGGUAAGUUCCGACCUGCACGAAUGGCGUAAUGAUGGCCAGGCUGUCUCCACCCGAGACUCAGUGAAAUUGAACUCGCUGUGAAGAUGCAGUGUACCCGCGGCAAGACGGAAAGACCCCGUGAACCUUUACUAUAGCUUGACACUGAACAUUGAGCCUUGAUGUGUAGGAUAGGUGGGAGGCUUUGAAGUGUGGACGCCAGUCUGCAUGGAGCCGACCUUGAAAUACCACCCUUUAAUGUUUGAUGUUCUAACGUUGGCCCGUAAUCCGGGUUGCGGACAGUGUCUGGUGGGUAGUUUGACUGGGGCGGUCUCCUCCUAAAGAGUAACGGAGGAGCACGAAGGUUGGCUAAUCCUGGUCGGACAUCAGGAGGUUAGUGCAAUGGCAUAAGCCAGCUUGACUGCGAGCGUGACGGCGCGAGCAGGUGCGAAAGCAGGUCAUAGUGAUCCGGUGGUUCUGAAUGGAAGGGCCAUCGCUCAACGGAUAAAAGGUACUCCGGGGA